ACGCAGCCGUGCAAUUCAUUUGAAGAUUCCCGACUAUUUCGGUGAAUCACUCGCUAAGAUUAACGCCAGGGACUCGGCAAGGACCCACAGAUGGAGGAGCGAUGCUUGAAUAUUUCCCGUUUCUGAUGUGGUUUCGCUCUGGUUUUGAGUGGGAGCUGAACCAAAACCCCAUAGGAAGUGCGGGGCCGCGACAUUACAGGAAAGCCACGUCUGUAGAGCAACGCCAGCAUCUCCCAGCAGCACAUUUCCUCCUCAAACCGUAUCUGGAGUAGGCGGUGUUCUUUCAGCCCACUUAUACGUCUUCACCAAAACACCCCAAAACUGACAGAACCAAAACGACAGCGUUUCAAAGCCCACAUCUGUCCUCCUGUCUCGCAGCCAAGCCAGCAGGGAAUAUAAAUACCUUAUUCCACCUUCGAAAUGCUUUCUCCGUGGAAGUAUCCCAGGCCACCGAGAAAGGAAGAGAAUUACCCAAGGGCUCUCCUGCCCAAAAAGAGCUCCAUGAGCCCGCCCCCAGCAUUGGCACCGUCAUUUCCCUCACCAAAAAUUGCAUCAUCCAAAUGAGCACCGAACUACAAAGGCUAAUAAGAAAAGGAGAUGGGGGCGUCCAAACCCCAUCGCUGCCAAGGAAUCGGGCGAAAAUACCCAAAUUUAAGGGCAGCUAAGGCGGAACGCUCUCCAUUUCGCUUCAGCCCGACGCGCCGGUUUUCAUCUACGUUUCCCCCCGGCAAAAAAAACAAAGCGAACCAACGCCGAGCUCGGCACAAAGCAGAGCAGCCACCCUUGGAAAGCAGCUCCCGGAGCUGGCAGAGGAUCACAUGGAUGCUGGGAAGAGCGGGGCCAAGCCUCCCUGCCCGGCGGAUGCCCGCAGAUCAGGCUCGCACGCUGCGGAGGAGCGGGAUGCACGGGGGGUGUUGUAACAGCAGCGGGAUGUUAUCGCACCUGCACAGCCAGGCGGGGCGAGGAGACACGCUUUCAUGUGGCUUCGGUACGGUUUGCAGAAAAAUACGUGCCUCUAUUCAUUAUAAGCUACGAAUUUGCCUCUAAGGCUGCGGCACCGAUCUGCAGUACCGCCUGGAUUUAUAAUGAGGGCUCAAGGAAUCGAAUCAAUAAUUGAAAUUUCUGCUUUGAUCCAGGCGCCGUGAUUACGACUUCUGUCAGCGUCGCCGUUCGGAGAUAAAAGGUGAGGUGGUGUUCAGAGCUGGAGGCAGGGAGGGAAGAAACUGUCGAGGAGUGAAGUACAAAGGCUGGCAUGGAGCUGGUGAAUCAGAGCAGCGCUUGUACUGGAGACAUUUCACUACUCCGUCAAUUCUCCUUCCCAAGGCAUGAAAAAACCCUUUCAUCCGAGAGAGAAGUCAUCAUGCAAAUUCUUAGGGAAUGAAAACGCCUUUUUUUUUUUUUUUUUCUUUAGCAGAAAAUAAUAUAAUCAUGCAUCAACCAGCCACAACAUACUGACAAAGCAUCAGCAAAGCCGGAGUUUAAGCUACGGUCAACUUUGCUGUACUUACUGCCUUUAAAAACGAUCACAUUGCAGACAGGCGCUGGCACGAUCGGUUUCACGGGAUAUUUAAGCCCUUCCAUUAAUUAAACAGAAGUGAAACGGGACCUCAGACUGCACAGACACUGCGGAUCAUUAAGUCUGGUUCCUCGGUACUUCAAGCAACCACGUUAUAAAACUCCUCUCUCGCUCUGCUUGAACGGCACCUUAAAAAGCAGAGGUUUUUCUUUUUUGCCCCGUUCCUCCCAUUUGGAGGCUGUUUAGGGUCCUGUUCCUCUGCUACACACACAAACCCCUCUCGUUUCCCGCUCGCAGCCCCGCCAUCGCUCUUUAUCCACGUAUUUUUUCGCCAGUGGUGUCCUUUAGGUUAAAUAGCUUUCUCCCUGAGUCAUUCCCACAAACUUGCAAGCGUACAAAGGAGUCUGGGAUACGGGCAGAACAAAAAUAGUACAAAGACCGUACAGUGCUCUUGAACGGAAAAUGCAGGCAUUGAACUCUAUCUUACGCAUCUUCAUAUUUCUCGAGCUUUUCCUUUUUUAAACGCAGCCAGCACGCCGUACACCAGGCACUUCAUUUGAUCCACGUUAAGAGCCGCUUGUGAUAACCCGGCCCUGAGCAUAAUGCAAGGGCUCUGCUUAUCUCAGACGGCACGUCUCAGGGAAAAAGACACGAAGCCUUCUUCCCACCCGAAUAUAUAUUGAAAUUACGAGCCUCCCAUUAUUAAAUCAUCACACGCAAUUUAUAUUCGGCCGCUUUUGAGAGGCAGAAGCGCAGUAAAGCCGUUACCCGCAGAAGCGCUAACAAGAUAAUUGCCUCUCGCUCCUGCUCCCAAACGGCUGAGCUCAGAUUUACAGCGGGGAAAAUCGCUCUAACGGCCCACAGCGAGCAGCCUGCGGCUCCAAAAAGGUUCAGAAACGGCCCCAAACCGACAGACGCUGCAGGCAGGGGAAGACGUACCCGCUACGGGACACCCAAAUGCCCUGCUCGGCCCUGGGACCCGCUGCCUACCCCGAGCCGUGCACACCCGGGUGCCUCCAGCCACCUCGGGGGACCCCAGGGCCAUCCCCAGAUCCAGCAGGGAUUUCCCCUGAAUAAACCAAACUAAAGCACAUUUACAUCAAAAACAGCUAGUCCCAAGAAUUGUUCUGUUAUUUCAUCCCAGGCUCUGCUUUCCUGAAAUGCAGCAUCCCACUGCUUCUGCUCUCACGUGCACCAGGAUGCCUCUGAAGGGACUUCGCUCGGCUGUUCCCCAGCUUCACGCCCCAAAAAUUCAGCGCUGAAUCCCACCUACUGAAAAAGCCACAUAAGACACCAGAAAAAGAGAUACACUUUCUAAAUGCCUAAAGUUUCAAUAAAAACAGUUUCCUUAAUGAUUUUUUAACAGAAGAAGGUGAUGUAGUUCUUCUUAUUAGCAUUAUUUUGUAUUUCUGCUUCUGAUGAAUGAAGGCUGUUCUAUUUUAAAAUUCAGGACAUAAAUGGGAACCAGAUCACAUCCACCCCAAAGCUGCCAAAAAACACACUGCUGUACGAAACCAAAAAUCCUCCUGGGAUUUUCCCAAAUCCACAAAACAUUCCCCAGCACCGAAGUUUCCACUGGGACUACUCCACAAGCAGCCGGUCGCUGGGUGAGAACGUCAGCGCUCAGCCCUCCUCUUCAUGGUUUCCAGUCCGGUGGGGCCACGAAAGGCACGCUCUCCCACCUCACCCCAAGGAACAUUGCCCCUAAAGCCAGCCAGCUGCUGGAAACACCUUCAGCCUCGUCCCCCCGUGCCCGCAGCUCCGCCUGGGCGAUCGGAUCCCGGGGGCACAGCAGAGCCCUCCCCGGCGAGGCCGAAGCCCCGCGGCUUUCCGAAAUCAGCCUGGGUUCGUCUGACCGGCAGCGAGGGAAGAAGCGGUUUUAAACGAGCAAAUCUGGAAGCACGGGGAUGGAGUAAAACAGCCGAAGCUUCUGCAGAGGAAACCUGUGCUUCGGUCCCGUUUUGCACCGCUUUGCUGCAGCUGCUGCGGACCUGGCGGAGAGGCAGGGAUCACCACCGAGACGCGCAUCUGCCGGGUAAACGCCACGCGGUCACCUCCGGGACGAGCAGCACGGGCACUGCCCCGAGCUCCUCCGCAGCACCUCAGCAGUCAUUUGUGGGUACAAACGAGAAAUAAGUUAGAGCAAUCCCAAACUCUGCCAUCCUCGGGGGGCCUCGGAGGGGCAGCACCUGCGCCGAGAGGUCGAAGCUGUCCCCUCUCAGUGCUCCCCGAGGGGAAAGCGAAGCCUGGGGCGCAUCCCUCCCCCUCUAUUUGCCACCCUAACACGCUGCACCACGCCGGCAUCACCUCCGUGCCAAAGCCUCGCCGGUUUCUGCCCCUUCUCCCUUUUACAGCCUCGCUCCCGUUUCCCCGGCAGGACGGGGUCGGGAUGCUUUUUUGUCUGAAACAUCCUCUUGCCAGCCCCGAGGACUGGAUCCCUUAUAGAGAUUUCAGAGCCCAGUGAGCACAAAGUCAUUCGGAGUCAUUUCCCGACGGCUAGAGAGAGAGAGCUCCACGGACAUACACAUAUGGGAACGGCACCCUGCAAAAACAAGGGGACACCCCGACUUCAAAGCCACUCCUCCCUCAGAAAGCUCUCUCGGCUUAUUUUUGAAGGGGAAAAAAAACACAGAUACGUGUACAAAUGUCAAAGCAGAAAGCCCCGAGCUGGCUGGACGCAGCCCGAGGCCCCGCAGACGCCCCGGCGCAGCUCUGGGACCCCGCAGGCGCGUGGCAGCCCCUCCGAACAGCACCAGGAAAACGAAAAAAAAUAAAAAUAAACAAAACAAAACAAAAAAAAA